rnacentral:tRNA from 1 species
GUGGAUAUGGCUCAGUGGUAGAGUGCUUGCCUAGCACGCAUGAGGCCCUGGGUUCAAUCCCCAGUAUCACA